GAUGAACGCUGGCGGCGUGCUUAACACAUGCAAGUCGAACGAUGAAGCCAGCUUGCCGGUGGAUUAGUGGCGAACGGGUGAGUAACACGUGAGUAACCUGCCCUUAACUCUGGGAUAAGCCUGGGAAACUGGGUCUAAUACCGGAUAUGACUUCCCAUCGCAUGGUGGGGGGUGGAAAGCUUUUGUGGUUUUGGAUGGACUCGCGGCCUAUCAGCUUGUUGGUGAGGUAAUGGCUCACCAAGGCGACGACGGGUGGCCGGCCUGAGAGGGUGACCGGCCACACUGGGACUGAGACACGGCCCAGACUCCUACGGGAGGCAGCAGUGGGGAAUAUUGCACAAUGGGCGGAAGCCUGAUGCAGCGACGCCGCGUGCAGGAUGAAGCCCUUCGGGGUGUAAACUGCUUUUCCCAGGGACGAACUUCGGUGACGGUACCUGGGGAAUAAGAGGUUGCUAACUCUGUGCCAGCCGCCGCCGUAA
rnacentral:rRNA from 1 species